AGAGUUUGAUCCUGGCUCAGAGUGAACGCUGGCGGCAGGCCUAACACAUGCAAGUCGAACGGCAGCACAGCAGUAGCAAUACUGUGGGUGGCGAGUGGCGGACGGGUGAGGAAUGCGUCGGAAUCUGCCUUUUUGUGGGGGAUAACGUAGGGAAACUUACGCUAAUACCGCAUACGACCUACGGGUGAAAGUGGGGGACCUUCGGGCCUCACGCAGAAAGAUGAGCCGACGCCGGAUUAGCUAGUUGGCGGGGUAAAGGCCCACCAAGGCGACGAUCCGUAGCUGGUCUGAGAGGAUGAUCAGCCACACUGGGACUGAGACACGGCCCAGACUCCUACGGGAGGCAGCAGUGGGGAAUAUUGGACAAUGGGCGCAAGCCUGAUCCAGCCAUGCCGCGUGUGUGAAGAAGGCCUUCGGGUUGUAAAGCACUUUUGUCCGGAAAGAAAAGCUUCGGGUUAAUAACCUGGAGUCAUGACGGUACCG
rnacentral:rRNA from 1 species